CUAUGCGCCUUGCCAGCCCGCUCAGGUGUGCAGCCGCCGCGGUAAUACAGAGGUCUCAAGCGUUGUUCGGAGUCACUGGGCGUAAAGCGUGCGUAGGCGGUUUCGUAAGUCGUGUGUGAAAGGCGGGGGCUCAACCCCCGGACUGCACAUGAUACUGCGAGACUAGAGUAAUGGAGGGGGAACCGGAAUUCUCGGUGUAGCAGUGAAAUGCGUAGAUAUCGAGAGGAACACUCGUGGCGAAGGCGGGUUCCUGGACAUUAACUGACGCUGAGGCACGAAGGCCAGGGGAGCGAAAGGG
rnacentral:rRNA from 1 species